rnacentral:rRNA from 1 species
GGCGAGAGACCGAUAGCGAACAAGUACCGUGAGGGAAAGAUGAAAAGAACUUUGAAAAGAGAGUUAAACAGUACGUGAAAUUGUUGAAAGGGAAACGAUUGAAGUCAGUCAUACCAACGGGAAAUCAACCUUUUGAGUUUGGUCUCGUGGGUUUUGAAGAGUUUAAAAGCCUUCGGAUUUUCGAGAUUGGGUUCUUCUGGUGUACUUUCUCGUACGGUUAGUCAACAUCGGUUUUGAAUGUCAUAAAAUGA